GUCUACGGCCCUACCACCCUGAACGUGCCCCAUCUCGUCUGAUCUUGGAGGCUAAGCAGAGUCAGGCCUGGCAAAUGCUUGGAUGGGAGAGUUCCAUGGUUAAUUCUGUGUUCUCAAUU
rnacentral:rRNA from 1 species